UACGGGGGGGGCAAGCGUUGUUCGGAAUUACUGGGCGUAAAGGGCUCGUAGGUGGCCAACUAAGUCAGACGUGAAAUCCCUCAGCUUAACUGGGGAACUGCGUCUGAUACUGGAUGGCUUGAGUUUGGGAGAGGGAUGCGGAAUUCCAGGUGUAGCGGUGAAAUGCGUAGAUAUCUGGAGGAACACCGGUGGCGAAGGCGGGUCUCUGGGCAACAACUGACGCUGAGGAGCGAAAGCGUGGGGAGCGAACAGG
rnacentral:rRNA from 1 species